rnacentral:rRNA from 1 species
GGGGAAUAUUGCACAAUGGGCGCAAGCCUGAUGCAGCGACGCCGCGUGCGGGAUGGAGGCCUUCGGGUUGUAAACCGCUUUUGUUCAAGGGCAAGGCACGGUUUCGGCCGUGUUGAGUGGAUUGUUCGAAUAAGCACCGGCUAACUACGUGCCAGCAGCCGCGGUAAUACGUAGGGUGCGAGCGUUAUCCGGAUUUAUUGGGCGUAAAGGGCUCGUAGGCGGUUCGUCGCGUCCGGUGUGAAAGUCCAUCGCCUAACGGUGGAUCUGCGCCGGGUACGGGCGGGCUGGAGUGCGGUAGGGGAGACUGGAAUUCCCGGUGUAACGGUGGAAUGUGUAGAUAUCGGGAAGAACACCAAUGGCGAAGGCAGGUCUCUGGGCCGUCACUGACGCUGAGGAGCGAAAGCGUGGGGAGCGAACA